CUCAUCCUAGAGCCCCACUACUCAGAGGAGCUGGGAAGAAUUUCCACCCUUCCUAGUGGCAAGUCCCACUGUGAGAGCAGAGUGCCACCAGGCAAACAGGGCAUAAAGCCUGCUUUAAGGAGAAUCCUUAUACUGGGGGUUAUGAAGUGCAAUACACCUUCAUCCUCACGCUAACACUGGUACCAUGUAGCCCAAGCUUGUCUAACCUGCAGUCCGCAGGCUGUGUAUGGCCCAGGAUGGCUUUGAAUGUGGCCCAACGCAAAUUUGUAAACUUUCUUAAAACAUUAUCAGAUUUUUUUUUCUCAUCAGCUAUCAUUAGUGUUAGUGUAUGUUAUUUGUGACUCAAGACAAUUCUUCUUUUCCAAUGUGGCCCAGAGAAGCCAAAAGACUGGACACCCCUGAUGUGGCCCUUUCAUCCAUAGUAGCCUAUUUUGUCCUAAAGACGGUCUUGUGCAGUGAGAAGGCCAGGCCUCCCCACUACCACAGUUUACAGGCAAGGAAUGUGAUAUUUCAUAGGAUGACCCUGACUGGCACCUACAUUGCUAGCCAAAGAAUGGCACAAAGAUGUGGACAUAAGAGACAACCUUAAGCAGCUGACUGCUGGCUCCUGCAAGAGUGUCGUCAUGGCAUUUGUCCUGGGGUCCCAAGGAAAGAAAACAAAUCUGCAGCUAAGGAACAGGCUGAGUUGACAAAGCAGCUUCCACAGUAACACAAGAACAAAGGGUGUAUGUAGAUGUGCACGUGGUAGCAGGUUCUACUAAAGGAACCUGGACUGACCAUUCUCACUCACAUUCUUUGGGAGCUGUACUUUAAUACUUUCAGAAAAGCCAUGGGAACACACCAGAGUGACUGCUUGAGUAAAUAAGUAGCAUAAACAGCAAGUACACAUCACUGGGCCCAAUACUAUGAAAUCCCACAUGAGAAACUUGAAAGUGAAAGCUGGAAUUCUGAGGAUAUUGGUUUUGCUUAAUAAAAAGCAUUUCAACAGGUGAGUCAACUUAGUA
rnacentral:lncRNA from 1 species